rnacentral:rRNA from 1 species
GAUGAACGCUGGCGGCGUGCCUAAUACAUGCAAGUCGAGCGAACGGACGAGAAGCUUGCUUCUCUGAUGUUAGCGGCGGACGGGUGAGUAACACGUGGAUACCCUACCUAUCAGACUGGGAUAACUUCGGGAAACCGGCGCUAAUACCGGAUAAUAUUUUGAACCGCAUGGUUCAAAAGUGAAAGACGGUCUUGCUGUCACUUAUAGAUGGAUCCGCGCUGCAUUAGCUAGUUGGUAAGGUAACGGCUUACCAAGGCAACUAUGCAUAGCCGACCUGAGAGAGUGAUCGGCCACACGGGAACUGAGACACGGUCCAGACUCCUGCGGGAGGCAGCAGUAGGGAAUCUGCCGCAGUGGGCGAAAGCCUGGCGGAGCGACGCCGCGUGAGUGAUGAAGGUCUUCGGAUCGGAAAACUCUGUUAUUAGGGAAGAACAUAUGUGUAAGUAACUGUGCACAUCGUGACGGUACCUAAUCAGAAAGCCACGGCUAACUACGUG